rnacentral:rRNA from 1 species
GGGCCCGCACAAGCGGUGGAGCAUGUGGUUUAAUUCGAUGCAACGCGAAAAACCUUACCUACCCUUGACAUCCCUGAAAUCGUCUAGUAGUAGACGAGUGCCUUCGGGAAUCAGGUGACAGGUGCUGCAUGGCUGUCGUCAGCUCGUGUCGUGAGAUGUUAGGUUAAGUCCUGCAACGAGCGCAACCCCUAUACUUAUUUGCCAGCACGUUAUGGUGGGAACUAUAAGUAGACUGCCGGUGAUAAACCGGAGGAAGGUGGGGAUGAUGUCAAGUCAUCAUGGCCCUUAUGGGUAGGGCUACACACGUGCUACAAUGGACAGUACAAUUGGUUGCAAACCCGCGAGGGGGAGCUAAUCCAAGAAAGCUGUUCUCAGUCCGGAUUGGAGUCUGCAACUCGACUCCAUGAAGUCGGAAUCGCUAGUAA